rnacentral:rRNA from 1 species
UACGGAGGGUGCAAGCGUUGUUCGGAAUUAUUGGGCGUAAAGGGCAGGUAGGUGGUCUUGAAAGUCUACUGUGAAAUCCCCGAGCUUAACUCGGGAAGUGCGGUAGAUACUCCAAGACUAGAGUGCUGGAGGGGUGCGCGGAAUUCCCGGUGUAGUGGUGAAAUGCGUAGAUAUCGGGAGGAACACCAGUGGCGAAGGCGGCUUCCUGGCCUGUUCUUGACGCUGAGGCGCGAAAGCUAGGGGAGCAAACGGG